UACGGGGGGGGGGCAAGCGUUGUUCGGAAUUACUGGGCGUAAAGGGCUCGUAGGUGGCCAACUAAGUCAGACGUGAAAUCCCUCAGCUUAACUGGGGAACUGCGUCUGAUACUGGAUGGCUUGAGUUUGGGAGAGGGAUGCGGAAUUCCAGGUGUAGCGGUGAAAUGCGUAGAUAUCAGGAGGAACACCGGCGGCGAAGGCGGCUUCCUGGACCGAUACUGACGCUGAGACGCGAAAGCGUGGGGAGCAAACAGG
rnacentral:rRNA from 1 species